UUUCUUUCUUUUUUUUUUUUUUUUUUUUUUUUUUUUUUUUUUUUUUUUUUUUUUGACAGGCAGAGUGGACAGUGAGAGAGAGAGACAGAGAGAAAGGUCUUCCUUUUUGCCUUUGGUUCACCCUCCAAUGGCGCUGUGGCUGGCGCGCUGCAGCUGGCGCACUGCGCUGAUCUGAAGCCAGGAGCCAGGUGCUUCUCCUGGUCUCCCAUGCAGGUGCAGGGCCCAAGGACCUGGGCCAUCCUCCACGGCACUCCUGGGCCACAGCAGAGAGCUGGCCUGGAAGAGGGGCAACCGGGACAGAAUCCGGCGCCCUGACCGGGACUAGAACCCAGUGUGCUGUGCUAGGUGGAGGAUUAGCCUAGUGAGCCACAGCGCCAGCCCUCCUUUUUCUUACACGAGUGCAGGAUGCCUUGUGUGGAUGCAUCGUACUUUAUCCAGCCCAUUGCCCUGUUUAGCUCCGACACCCUGCUGCAGCGGGAGACCCUGCAAGACUUCAUUUCACAUGUGUACAGGUGUGUACGAAGCAUGGGCCGGGCCUCGGCCUAGCAGUUAAGACACUGCGUAGGGCUCCCGUGUCUCCUAGCAGAGGGCCUGGGUCUGAAUCCCAGCUCUGCUCCCGUUCCUGCUCCCUGUUGGUGCAGGCCCUGGGGGCGGCAGCUGAUGGCUCAGGUGUCGUGACUGGCUCCCUGCCACCUGUGUGGCGAUCUGGAUGGAUCCCAGGAUCUGGGGAGUGGACCAGUGGAUGGCAACUUUCUUCGUCUCUUUUUCCUUCCCUCCCAUCUUCCUUCCCUCGCCCUACCUCUCAAAUCAAUCAAUCGAUCGAUCGAUCAAUCAACAAAUAAAAAUGGAGUAUGCCGCCCCCGAGCUGGGUGCCGGGUUAUACAGCUGUGAGGCAUUGUCAGACUCCUUCCCUCGGGGUUGUCUUGUAAGACACCAGUGGCGGGGUGUGACAGCUGUCUCCCCACAGCCCGGCCUCCCCAGAGCCAUAGCAAGCGUUUCUGAUGGGUGAAAAUCGUGUCUGCACAGCCCAGGAGCAGGGAUCGGGCAGCUGUGGGCCUUAGGAUGUUGUGAGCAAAAUGGCACGGGUCUCAUGGCCCUGUGCGUGUUUCCCAGGAGACAGGGCUGCAGGCGUGAGCAGGCCCAGCCGCGGCUCUCUGGCAUCGACUCCCAGCCUGGGUGGGGGGUCAGUGGGUCCUGGUGAGGAGUUUUAGCUCAGGGCAGGAAGAAGGGGCUGGCUGGAGCCAUUGGUCACUAUGCCCCACUUUGCAUUGCGGUCUCUCCCAGCAUACAUUGCCAUCUUUCCCAGUGUGCAUUGUGAUCUCUCCCAAAGUGCAUUGUGGUCUCUCUCAGUGUCAUUGUGGGUUCUCCAGUUGUGCAUUGUGGUCUCUCCCAGCAUCAUUGCCAUCUCUCCCAGUGUGCAUUGUGAUCUCUCCCAAAGUGCAUUGUGGUCUUUCCCAGCAUGCAUUGUGGUCUCUACUGGUGUGCAUUGCCGUGUCUCUUGUUGUAAGCUGGGGAACCCUCAACGUUAGGCUGGCCUUCAUCUUUUUUUUAAAGAUUUAUUUAUUUAUUUGAAAUGCAGAAUUACAGAGAGAGAAGGAGAGAGAGAGAGAGAGAGGUCUUCCAUCGGCUGGUUCACUCCCCAACUGCCCACAACUGCCAGAGCUGCGCCGAUCCAAAGCCAGGAGCCAGGAGCUUCCUCCGGGUCUCCCACACAGGUGCAGGGGCUCAAGGACUUGGGCCAUCUUCCACUGCUUUCCAGGCCACAGCAGAGAGCUGGAUUGGAAGAGGAGCAGCCGUUUCUCGAACUGGCGCCCAUAUGGGAUGCCAGCGCUUCAGGCCAGGGCGUUAACCCGCUGCGCCACAGUGCUGGCCCCUGGCCUUCAUUUUAAAAGGCAACACAUAGCAUAUAAAGACCUAUACGAAACAAAGAAGCCGUAACGUGGGUACCUGAUUGAUGUGUCUAAAAUGAUAUAUACACAGUGCAAAAUUCGUGCUAGUGGUGUGACCAGUGCGUUUUCAUGUAUGAUUUCCUUCACGGCUCACUUUCCCCAGAGACUGAAUUCUGAGCAACUUCUUCUGAAAUUGGUAGAGUCAGGUUGUCCUUGGACACCAAAUUGUAUUUCAUCACAAAUUUGGUAAACCAAUGAGAGAGAAAGGUUUCAUUUCUUUUUUUAAAAUAUUUAUUUCUUUUUUUUUUUAAGUAGAAUUAGAGAGGGAGAGACAGAGAGAGGUCUUCCAUCUGCUGGUUCACGCCUCAAAUGGCCACGACAGCCAGAGCUGGGCUGACCUAAAGCCAGGAGCUUCUUCUGGGUCUCCCAUGUGGGUGCAGGGCCCAAACACUUGGGCCAUCUUCCGCUGCUUUCCCAGGUCAUGAGCAGGGAGCUGGAUCGGAAGUGGAGCAGCCGGGUCUUGAACCAGCACCCAUAUGGGAUGCCGGCACUGCAAGUGGUUUUACCCACUACACUACAACACUGGCCCCCUGAAAUGUUUCAUCUUCGUAUUUAUCAAAUAUCUGCCGGUGAUGAAAACAAGACCGUGUGAAAAUGUUCGGUGUGGCCGGCGCCGCGGCUCACUAGGCUAAUCUGUCUUGCAGUGCCGGCACACCGGGUUCUAGUCCCGGUCGGGGCGCCGGAUUCUGUCCCGGUUGCCCCUCUUCCAGGCCAGCUCUCUGCUGUGGCCAGGGAGUGCAGUGGAGGAUGGCCCAAGUGCUUGGGCCCUGCACCCCAUGGGAGACCAGGAGAAGCACCUGGCUCCUGCCUUUGGAUCAGCGCAGCGCGCCGGCCGUGGUGGCCAUUGGAGGGUGAACCAACGGCAAAAAGACCUUUCUCUCUCUCUCUCUCACUGUCCACUCUGCCUGUCAAAAAAAAAAAAAAAAAAGUUCGAUGAAUCCCUCUGCAUACCCAUCCCAGUUCUGCUAUUGGCAAUUCCUUUAUGCUCGCCAUGCAAGGGAGCUAUACAUCGCUAUUCAGCAGACGUGCAGCGCCAUCUGGUGGGCAUCUGGUGUGAUUGCAGCAGGACACUUGGAGUUCCAAGAGCCGCACUGUUGUCUCGGGGUAAGUGUCUGGGUGGCAUUCAUCCUGAAGUGUGACAGCACAACCGUCCAGCUCCACACCGGGUGGCCUUAACGUCCACACUCCCGUGCACCUGCAUGUUGGCCUGUGGGCGGUUCCAGAAUCAGGUGCAGUCUGCCCCUAUCUUCUUCUUCUUCUUUUUUUUUUUUUUUUUGACAGACAGAGUGGACAGUGAGACAGAGAGACAGAGAGAAAGGUCUUCCUUUGCCGUUGGUUCACCCUCCAAUGGCCGCCGCGGCCGGUGCACCGCGCUGAUCCGAUGGCAGGAGCCAGGUGCUUCUCCUGGUCUCCCAUGGGGUGCAGGGCCCAAGCACUUGGGCCAUCCUCCACUGCACUCCCUGGCCAUAGCAGAGAGCUGGACUGGAAGAGGAGCAACCGGGACAGAAUCCGGUGCCCCAACUGAGACUAGAACCCGGUGUGCCGGCGCCGCUAGGCGGAGGAUUAGCCUGUUUAGCCGCGGCGCCGGCUUGCUCCUAUCUUCUGAUGUCCUAUCUGCCUCCUCACAGGAUGCCGCAGGCCUGUCGCGCCCGCAGCCCUGCCAUGCACACCGCCAUGACCAUACUAAUGGUGGCUGGAGUUGGUACCCAGAUGCAGCUGUUUCCUGGCCCUGAAACAAAAUGCCUGAAGCAGAGCUAUUUGCAAAGAACAGAGAUUUCUUUAGCUUGCGGUUCAGGAGGAAGUCCACGAGCGUGGUGCCGGCACCUGUCCAGCUUUGCUAAGGGCCUUGCGGUGGAGGAGGGCACCACCCGAUGAGCCAGGAGCAAGCCAGGCAGAGUUUGUGUUUAUAACAAAGCUGGUUCCGAGCUCACCUCAAUCUGUGAGUGGAUUAAUCCAACCCGUUCAUCCUUUCCUGGUCUCCCAUGCGGGUGCAGGGACCCAAGCACCUGGGCCAUCCUCCGCUCCCUCCCGGGCCACAGCAGAGAGCUGGACUGGAAGAGGAGCAACUGGGACUAGUACCCAGUGCCCCAACUGAGACUAGAACCCGGAAUGCCGCACCACAGGCGGAGGAUUAGCCAAGUGAGCCAGCGCCAGCCAACCAUGAAUUCUUAAACACAACAUCAAAAACAAUAAAAGAAAAAGACAGAUAAAUUGAACUUCAUCAGAAAUGAAAAGUUCGGGGCUGGCACAGCAGGUAAAGCCACUGCCCACAACACUGUUGCCAGUUUGAGUCCCAUCUGCUCCACUUCCAAUCCAGCUUCCUGCUAAUGUGCCUGGGAAAAGCAGCGGAAGAUGGCCCAGUGCUUGGGCAGCACCCACAUGGGAGACUAGGAUGAAGCUCUUGGCUCCUGGCUUUGGCCUGGCCCAGCCCUGGCUGUUGUGGCCAUUUAGGGAGUGAACCAGUACGUGGAAGACUCCUCUCUGUCUCUGUUUCUCCCUCUCUCUCUAAAAUUCUGCUUUUCAAAUAAAUAAAGAAAUCUUAAGAAAAACCAGUCUUAAUCUGUUAUACUAGCAAAGAACUUGUAGAAACCAAAUUUAAAACAUAAUACUUCUUAUAACUAUUCCCUCCAAAGGAAGUGCUUGAGUAUAAAUCUAACAAAACAUGUACAGGAUCUGUAUGCUAAAGCAUAAAAAAAGCUGGUGAAGAAGAAAUCAAAGAAAAUCUGAGGACAUGGGAGGCAUACCAUGUCCAUGGACUGGGAGACUCGCCACAGCAAAGAUGUCAGGUCUCCUCAGACUGACCUAUGGGUCUAACAGAACGUCCAUCAGAAUCUCUUGUAGUUUACUCUAAAACCCAUGUGGAAACACAAAGGACCUGGAAUAGCUAAGACCAUCUUUAAAAAGAAGAAAUGGGGGCCGGUGCUGUGGCUCAGCGGGUUAAAGCCCUGGCCUGAAGUGCCAGCAUCCCAUAAGGGUGCUUGCUGGUUGUAGUCCUGGCUGCUCCUCUUCUGAUCAAGCUCUCUGCUAUGACCUGGGAAGGCACUGGAAGAUGGCCCAAGUCCUUGGGCCCCUGCACACACGGGUUAAGUUUUAAUUAAUUUUAUUUAUUUAUUUGGGAGACAGAGACAGAGAGAGAGAAUUCCUGUCUGCUGGUUCACACCCAGAAUUCCCACAGUGCCCAGGCUGAAACCAAGAGUUAUGAAUUUGACCCAGGUCUCCCACGUGGGUGGCAGGGACCCCACUCCUUGAGUCACCUCCUGCUGCCUCCUGGGACGCACACAGGGAAGCUGGAGUCAGGAGCGGAGCCGGGACUUGAACCCAGACAGGCGCCCCACGCAGUGUCUUAACUGCUAGGUUAAAUGCCUGCCCCCGGUUUCUACAAAGGUACAGAAGCAGUUCAAUGGUGGAAGGGGAGCUUUCUCAGCAUGCGCUCCUGGGGGAACUGAACAUUCACAAGCAAAGAAAGAAAAAGUGAACGUUAACCUAAGCAUCAAAGUUAAUUCAGAAGCAACGGGGCGGGGGGCAAGGCUGGCACUGUGGCACCGCAGGCCAAGCCACCACUGGUGAUGCUGGCAGAAGAUGACUCACACCCUUGAGCCCCUGCCAUGCAUGUAGGGAGUGAACCUCUCCCUCCCUCUCCCCUCCCCCUCCCCCUCCCCUGAGGGUAGCAGGGGCCCAAGGACUUGGACCACCUUCCACUGCUUCCCCAGGAGCAUUAGGAGGGAGCCGGCUCAGAAGCAGAGCAGCCUGGACUUGAGCCAGUGCCCUAACGGGAUGCUGGCAUCGCAAGCCACAGCUUAACCCACUGGGCUACAACGCUGCCCCCAAAGAGUAUAUAAAGAACUUGCAAGGCCGGCACUGCAGCUCACUAGGCUAAUCCUCCGCCUUGCGGCACCGGCACACCGGGUUCUAGUCCCGGUCGGGGCGCCGGAUUCUGUCCCGGUUGCUCCUCUUCCAGGCCAGCUCUCUGCUGUGGCCAGGGAGUGCAGUGGAGGAUGGCCCAAGUGCUUGGGCCCUGCACCCCAUGGGAGACCAGGAGAAGCACCUGGCUCCUGCCAUCGGAUCAGCGCGGUGCGCCGGCCACGGCAGGCAUUGGAGGGUGAACCAACGGCAAAGGAAGACUUUCUCUCUGUCUCUCUCUCUCUCACUGUCCACUCUGCCUGUCCAAAACAAAAACAAAAAACCUCGCAAAAUGCAGUGAUCAAAAGGCCAUCUAAUCCAGCCGUGGAGACUGCCCAUCUAAUCAGAGAGUGCACAGAAGACCGUGAGCAGAUACUUUAUGGAAGAGAAGGGACAGGUGCUCGGUGUGACUCAGGUCCCCCGGGGACAUCAGCACACACUGGAGAGCGUCAAGGUGACGAUGCAGGUGGUACUCAGCGCCGGGGCGUCCGUCAGACACUGCCAGUAGGAACAAGCAGCAGCACGGCCACUCUGGAAGUCGGCUUUCCGUUUCUCACAAUAUGAAGCACUCAGUGACCCUGUGACCAGCCAAGGCACCCAGAGAAAUGCAAACUUAUAUUGCCACACACACACACACACACACUCACACAAACUGCACACCAAUGUUCAUAGCAGCACAAUUUGGCUUUUCUUUUUCAAGAAUUAUUUAUUUGAAAGUCAGAAUCGCAGAGGGAGAGGGAGAGGGAGGGAGAGAGAGAGAGAGAGAGAGAGAGGUCUUCCAUCCACUGCUUCACUCCCCAAAUGGCCGCAAUGGCUGGAGCUGGGCUGGUGCAAAGCUAGGAGCCAGGCGCUUCUUCCAGGUCUCCCAAGCAGGUGCAGGGGCCCAAGCACUUGGGUCAUCUUCCACUGCUUUCCCAGGUGCAUUAGCAGGGAGCUGGAUCAGAAGUGGAGCAGCCGGGACUCGAACCGACGCCCAUAUGGGAUGCUAGCAUGGCAGGCAGAGGGUUAAUGCACUAUAGCAGCAUGAUUUGUAAAAGCAAAGCACUGGAAACCAUGCACGCGUCCUUCAGUGAGUGAAUGGGGACGUCCACACUCAACAGGGGAAAAUGAGUGGCUGGGCUAUGUUUUACGAAGGGUUUAUUAUUUGAGAGAUAGAGAUACGGAGGUAUCAUUCAUACGCUGGCUCACUCCCCCAGAUGGCCACAGCAGCCAUGCCUGGGCCAGGCUUAAGCCAGGAGCCUGGGUCUCCCAGGUGGGUGCCAGGCAUCUCAGGAGAUAGCUGAACCUGCUGAGCCACAGCGCCACCUCCUGGCCGUCUUCUGCCUUACUUCUGUCCUCAAAAAUGGGCUAGAGGUACUGAGAAGAUUCACUUAAGUAAAGUGUGGAAAAGCCAAUAAAAGUGAGCGUACUUAUUGAAUAAAAUCACGUUGGCAGCUUUAAAAUAAUACAGGUUUGCAGGUGCCCCUUCCCUGCUAAAGCUGCAUAAGAGUGACUUGGAGGGAGAGGACUCUAGGCUAAUCCUCCGCCUUGCGGCGCCGGCACACCGGGUUCUAGUCCCGGUCGGGGUGCCGGAUUCUGUCCUGGUUGCCCCUCUUCCAGGCCAGCUCUCUGCUGUGGCCCGGGAGGGCAGUGGAGGAUGGCCCAAGUCCUUGGGCCCUGCACCCCAUGGGAGACCAGGAGGAAGCACCUGGCUCCUGGCUUCGGAUCAGUGCGAUGCACCGGCCGUAGCACGCCGGCCGCGGUGGCCAUUGGAGGGUGAACCAACGGCAAAGGAAGACCUUUCUCUCUGUCUCUCUCUCUCACACUGUCCACUCUGCCUGUCAAAAAAAAAAAAAAAUCUCCUAGGUACAGAUUCAGCACACAAAAAAUACAGACCACUCAGUGUUUAAUUUGGACUUCAAAUACACAACAAAUCAGGUUUUGGUGCAAGGUGAUUCCAUGCAACAUUUGGGACGUCCUCACACUAGCCUUUGUUUGCUGUGUACCUGAAAUUCAAAGUUGCUUGGCGUCCUGCAAGUGAGCCUAUCCUAGGGACUCUGCUCCCAGCUCCCUGGUCUGAAGACAAACCUCGCAGGCAGCAAGUAGAGGCUAUCCCUCCACCCGACACCGGGGGGCGCUAGAAGAUGGCCUGUUCGUUUUCUCUCCUCCCAAUAUUAAAGUGGUGUUUGGGAAUGUGUGAGCAGCUUUACAAUUCACCUCGCGUCCUUGCGGGUUAUUUUUAGAUUUUUGGGGGUCCACCUCCUAGAGGGACUUGGGGAAGCUGCCAGAGGGCAUACAGAGCCAGCCGUCUCUCUCCCUCCCUCCCUCUCUCUCCCUCUCCCUUCGCUUUCCUACUGGGGACUACUCCAGCUCCUCCGGGGCUCCCCUCUCCUGCCCGGCUCCCCCAGGCGAGCCUGUUUCCACCUUGAUGUCACAGCCCUAUUCUGAUAUCACAGCCCAGCUUCUGGAAUUAUCCCAGGCAGCCCAGAUUCCGCCCUUACAGCUGAGCAGAGGGUGGGAGGGGGCUAGGGUGGCCGGCAGCCCUAGGGGCUGACCCGAAGGAACAUCGGGGCACCUGCCAUCCCAUGGCUCUGAAAUGAAAAGCCCCUGAAAGAUGCACCAGCCCCGUUCUCCUCCCCGGCCACCAGCAUUGCAAGGUCUCUGUGAAUUCAUUAAGUCAGUAGGAAAUCGACCCGCAUGGAUUAAACAGCACGGUCUUGCAAAAUCCCGAGUGACUUCUAACUGGCGGGCAUAAAGUUCCCUUGGAGCAAUUAAAACUGCAGAUUAUAUAUUUUUUAAACUUUAUUUUAUUUACUUGAAAGGCAGAGAGAGAAGGAAGGAGAGAGCGUGAGCGAGCGAGCUUCUGUCUUGGCUGCAGCAGCCAGAGCUGGGCUGGGCCAAAACCAGGAGCCUGGAACUCCAUCCAGGUCUCCCACGUGGGUGCAGGGGCCCAAGCACUUGGGCCAUCUUCCACUGCCUUCCCAGGCGUGUUAGCAGGGAGCUGGAUCAGAAGUGGAGCAGCCGGGACUCGACCCAGUUCACCAGGGAAGAAGAGGACGCAGGAUGAGAUGGUUAUGAGGAUGCAUGAUCAUAAAAUAAGCCAAGGCAACUCGGGGUGAGAGGCACCGCGUGGGAUAGCCUGCAGGCGCCAGCCAUCGUCACCAC